CAUCGAUCCCAUCUAUCGUUUCCGCCGCCGCCGCGCGAAAAAACUCCAUCGAACCCCAUCCUUGCUUGCCCACUCCCAUCGAUCGUUGCCACCGCCGCCGCCGCCGUCCGAGGGGGAGACGUCGCCGCCGCCUCUGCAAGGCAGGGCGGUUUCAAUCCCACCGCCGCCGAACUCCGGGAAUCGCCGCCGCCAAGUCUCCAGGGCAGGGCGGUUUCAAACCCUGCCGACGAACUCCGGGAUACGCAUAAUCGUCGCUGCCGCCCCCUCCCCCGGCUGCCCCAUGGUCUUCUAUCUCUCCCAACUCCGCUGUCGCGCCCCGUCUUCCGUCUCUGCAUGAAUCGCUGUUGUGGCAGCCACUCCCCAUGGCGGCCAUCCGGGCACACCGUGUCCGGGAUGAUGGAGGUGAUGUCGGCCAGUUCCCUGUUUCUGUUGGCAUCUUCUGCGAUGGGACCCGUGGGGGCAGGUCGCGCGCUGCUCAUCUGUGUCGAUGGCGUCGGCGUCGUCCUUCCCCUGCAAAGCAUGGCGGCUCCUUGGCUGGAUCACAGUGAUGAUACAGUUGGCUCGGCGGCGGCUAGGGAUCUCGCAGGCUGGCGUUUAUUUGAUGUCUGGGUGUUCCAAUCGUGAUGGAACGGACGUAUAAUGUACGGUAUAAGACUUUGGACGAGGCUCAUCUGCGUGGAUGGUUGUGGCUUGGCCGCCGGGCACACAAUCCAUUGAUUCACACAUAAGACCGUAGCCAUCUACACCAAGGCUCCUCUGCCCUACCGAGUCUUGCAAGCGAUCGUCAUAAGAAAUAUUCCGUGUGAUGCCGGCAUGUGUUGUUGUUGCACUGUCGCAACCAUCCAUCUACACACCAAAUGUCAAAACCGAGUCGCGGUGUUCACAAUGCUGGGCAUUAUUUAUAUCGAAGGACGAGGAGGAAGAUUUGGAUGACCGUAACCACAAUGGCAAGGGCAGCAACAUGGUCGUCACCUGCAAUGCCGAUGGGUGCUGACAUUAUGAUGUUUGGUUUAUUUGUUGAAAGUUACAGCCCAUGUUUCAUGAUUUAUUUGCCACCGGUUAAUCAUGAUAUUUUGAAGUGCUCUGACAAUUGCUUGCUGUCUGCAUCUCUUACUUUUCAACUUGCUGCAUAUACAGAUAUACACCAUUAGAAUCUGUUUGUACAAUAUAUUUACUUAUUCAACAUGCUUCAGUUAUGCUUCUUUGAAAAUCCAGUUGUAGAUUGCAGUGAAGCCCCAUUUAGAUCUUGGCUAUAGUAUUAUUCUUGUCUUAUGACUCGUGACAGAUUGAUAUGUGAAAUGUGAUACCAUGACAUAGCAUAUGUGGUACCGUGGUAGUCACAUUUGGUGGUAGUUCUGAUUGUUUGCUAGAUUACGAGAUAAGACCAAGUGCUUCUGCAACUCGGUUGCGGUUUUGAUAGGAACAUGAAGACUUGUGCCAUGCCAUGGAGCAUGUUUGAUUAAAAGGACAUAGUUGCUCCAAUAUAUUGAGCAGGGAAGAAGUUUGUUACAAGUGUUUUAUAGAGUUGACGCCAGAGACAUCCGACGGGAUACAUUGGUGAAGGAAUCGAUGAAGAAGCUUCCGUUCAGCAUGGUAUCUCAAUGGAAGAAUAUCCGAAGCAAACCUCCGCUACUUCUCUGUUCCCUUUCAUUUGUCGUGGGAAGACCGUAGGAAGGUAGGAAGACCUUAGGAAGAGCGGGUGGGAGGAAGAGAGGCCUGUGCUAUAGAUGUAGGCGAACAAUGGUCCUUGGAAAUUAUUAGUACUCUACAAAAUGUCUGUCCCCUAUGAUGCCUACAAUGAGCGAGAGAGGGUGGAAGGAAGGGAGAGCGGAGGAAGGAAGAUGGGGAUAUAUGUAGAGAGGGAGAUAGGAGGAAGGGAGAUGGGCAUAUAUGUAGAGAGAGGAAGAUCAGAGAGGGAGGGGAGAUUUACAGGACGAUUGUCGUUGAGCCACUCAAAUAUGUAUGUCUCUGUUGCAUCGCACGGGCAAUUAACUAUAGAAAAAUUCAAGGCUAUUUUUUAAAGUGACAUUUAUUCAGCGUGUUCCAACUUUUACAUGCCUUAAUUAUAGAAUAAUCUAAUAUUAUGAUUUCUCCAGUAAGCAGUAUACUAUAUACUUAACUGGGACUUUGAAUUUGUGCUUUAGGAAAAUUUGAAUAGACCUCAUCCACGCCGAUAAUUUCCUGGUACAUCAGGUUGAACAAUUUUGUUUAUGUUGUGAGUGGUCAAUAUUCCUUACCGCUGGCCACAUAUCUCACUUGUGCUGGUCCCCUAGAAUAUGCUAAUGUUUAGUUUCCAAUUUUUCAACUAUCAAAUAUCAGUGGACUUUACAUGGUUUCUUGCAAAAAAAAAAGACUCAUAUGGCCCGAGUUUGUUUGCUCAGGAGCAUUCUUUCAUAGAUUAUAGUAGUCAGUGGCUUAAAAGUAUUGUCAUUGCUACAAACAUAAAACUGAUGAAAGAAGAACAUAUUUGUACCUUAUUGCCGGCUGACUAUACACACAAGAACCUCGACACUCUCAUUAUUGUGUUAUAUAUUUAGUUGCAAUAGUAUUUGAUUUUUCAUGAAGCAAUAUACUUACUGUUUCUUCAUUCAGUUUCCUGUUUCAAUGACGCGUGGAGGACGACGGUCACGAGCGCAUUGUCGCAAGCUCACAGGAGGGAGGCACACAUCUCAUCCAAUAUAAAAGCACGCUCCGAAGAAUCCCUAACCCUCCAUGGAGCCAUUGCUAGGGGGCGACGAGAUCAACGCCACCCAUCACGACCACCAAGAUGUAGAAGUGCGGUGAUUUCUUGCCUGGCGUAUAACAAUGUGUGUUCAAUGGGUCGCCUCUUCUCACGCACAAGUCUCAGAGGGAGACAACGACAGCUAUUCAGAAUAACCACAACAAAAUUGUGACACAGGUGGUUAGUGGGAGAAGGAACCUUAUACCGCAGCCGAUUCUGCAGCAAGGGUGGUGCGUAGAAGAUAGUUGUAGCAAGCAUAUAUAUAAGUCACUCUGGAAAAAGUGUGUAGUUAUUGUUGUAAUAGAGAUCCAUUCCUAUAUUUUCACUGAUAUGCAUGGUUGAAUAGUACUAUGUGUGAUAUGUGAGAGUAAUGUAAUACAAAAUGAAACAUGGUGGACAGGGCUUCGUGACUGAGCUGGCGAAUAAAAUGUCAGUGGUGGAAACGGACAUGUUAUAGAAGAUGUUGAGGGUGGCACCGGAGUUAAUGGCCAAAUGGGGUUCCUUGGCACCGAAGAGAAGGAUGCUGCAGCGACACGUACUGGGUUCCAUUUCCAACCAGAGAAGAACUUAUGAAUGGUAUGUGCGCGAUCCAUUCAUUCUUUCGUUUGAUCCUUAUUCCCCUCAACUCAGAUUCAUUUUAUUUUGUACUUAUGCAUGAUUUUGAUGGAUGAAUAAAUUUAGUGGCAUUAAUUGCAAUGUGAAAUAUCAUAUAUCCAUAAACUUCACAUUGUUGUUGCUAUGAGUCUGCUGGUCAGCUACUUCCAGUUAUCCUCAUCGAGAGUUGAUUGUCGGAUUUCACCAAGAAAUAAAAACAGAGGAAAACCCACCGGUCUUACUACCGAUAGCAUCAAACAAGAAUAUGGGCACUAGAAAGGAGACGAUCCUAUCCACUAUCACAAUGAAACAAGAGAAACAAUUCCUUGCAGUCAUCUAUAAGCCUAUUCUUUAAUCCGUUCAAUUACAGAGUUUAUGAUUAUGUAAAUGGAGUAUGGGAUCUGAGGAAAAAAAAAAGGUAAUAGUACUUUCGUUCACAGGCAGAUUCGACAUAUCCUCCGUUUACUUCCCCCUUGUCUUCUGACUGACUCCUUAAAUCAUCAACAUGUGUGUAUAUAUAGUUGCAUCCGAUUCAAGGAAGAUAAUGGACAAGUGCAUUGGUAUGAACAGGUCGUCGACUUUGACAGAAAAUGCAUACAGAUUAUAAGUUUUCCUGCUGAGUUGUACUAUUAUGCUACAGAAUACACAUCAGCUAUUAUUCUACAGAAUACGCAUAAUUAGUUACAGAUCAGUAGGCUACUCAUCUGGUUAGUUUUCUCAAGUCAUUUCUUCUGUGUGUAUAUAUGUUAUUUUCCUUUUUACACUAACAAGAGUUUCGUGCUUUCUGGUAUGGUGUGGUGCUCCCCCCUUCAUUUAGUGAGUUCUUCCUUAAUGGAGGAUAUGGUAUAGGUAAUAGUGAGUGGUGUUCUAGCUUAUGCACUAUUUCCCCCUGGCCCGAGUUCCACACCAUAACAUGCCGCCGCCCCGGCCGCCGCGUCUGCCACGGCGCCGACGCCUCCCUGGCUCGCGGGACAUCCCCUCUAUAUAUUGUAACAGACUCCCAUGAAUACAAUUGAGUUGCAUCGUAUAAUCUUCUACAUGCAUCAUCUGGUUUUAAUGGACAGGUUCCAGCAAAAAAUGUCACGCUAUAGGGAAAGCGAGUGGGAAGGGUGUGUUGUAGGGUGGAAUUCUUGUGUUGGAACAACGUGUUGGAGAUAACAUGGUGAAUAGUCCGUACAACUACAUUUCUUCCCCACAUAUGAGUUGGAUUUGGGGGAGCCCAGACGGUUGAAUUUGGGGAGCUGC